rnacentral:rRNA from 1 species
UCCUUACGGGAGGCAGCAGUGGGAAUCCUACGGGAGGCAGCAGUGGGGAAUUUUGCACAAUGGGGGAAAGCCUGAUCCAGCUAUGCCGCGUGAGUGAUGAAGGCCGUAGGGUGUAAACCCUUCACCCCGAGGAAAGACGUACCGGAGAGAAGCAUAUGCAGCCAG